GAUGAACGCUGGCGGUGUGCCUAAUACAUGCAAGUCGAGCGAACUGACGAGGAGCUUACUCCUCUGACGUUAGCGGCGGACGGGUGAGUAACACGUGGAUAACCUACCUAUAAGACUGGGAUAACUUCGGGAAACCGGAGCUAAUACCGGAUAACAUGUUGAACCGCAUGGUUCAACAGUGAAAGACGGUCUUGCUGUCACUUAUAGAUGGAUCCGCGUCGCAUUAGCUAGUUGGUAAGGUAACGGCUUACCAAGGCAACGAUGCGUAGCCGACCUGAGAGGGUGAUCGGCCACACUGGAACUGAGACACGGUCCAGACUCCUACGGGAGGCAGCAGUAGGGAAUCUUCCGCAAUGGGCGAAAGCCUGACGGAGCAACGCCGCGUGAGUGAAGAAGGUCUUCGGAUCGUAAAACUCUGUUAUUAGGGAAGAACAAAUGUGUAAGUAACUAUGCACGUCUUGACGGUACCUAAUCAGAAAGCCACGGCUAACUACGUG
rnacentral:rRNA from 1 species